AUUCAGUUUAGGGUUUAAAACCCUAAUGCUGAUUGCAUGGAAAACUCAGUUUAGGGUUUAAAACCCUAAUGCUGGCUGAAUGGAAAAAAGUCCAGUUUAGGGUUUAAAACCCUAAUGCUGAUUGCAUGGAAAAGCUCAGUUUAGGGUUUAAAACCCUAAUGCUGGCUGAAUGAAAAAAAGUUCAGUUUAGGGUUUAAAACCCUAAUGCUGUCUAAAGGAAAAAUUCAGUUUAGGGUUUAAAACCCUAAUGCUGAUUGCAUGGAAAAGCUCAGUUUAGGGUUUAAAACCCUAAUGCUGGCUGAAAGUAAAAAAAUUCAGUUUAGGGUUUAAAACCCUAAUGCUGACUAAAGGAAAAAUUCAGUUUAGGGUUUAAAACCCUAAUGCUGAUUGCAUGAAAAAGCUCAGUUUAGAGUUUAAAACCCUAAUGCUGGCUGAAUGGAAAAAAAGUUCAGUUAGGGUUUAAAACCCUAAUGCUGAUUAAAGGAAAAAAAAGUUCAGUUUAGGGUUUAAAACCCUAAUGCUGACUAAAGGAAAAAUUCAGUUUAGGGUUUAAAACCCUAAUGUUGAUUGCAUGGAAAAGUUCAGUUUAGGGUUUAAAACCCUAAUGCUGGCUGAAAGGAAAAAAAGUUCAGUUUAGGAUUUAAAACCCUAAUGCUGACUAGAGGAAAAAUUCAGUUUAGGGGUUUAAAACCCUAAUGCUGAUUGCAUGAAAAAGCUCAGUUUAGGGGUUUAAAACCCUAAUGCUGGCUGAAUGGAAAAAAAGUCAGUUAAGGUUUAAAACCCUAAUGUUGAUUAAAGGAAAAAGGUCAGUUUAGGGUUUAAAACCCUAAUGCUAACUGCAUGGAAAAGCUCAGUUUAGGGUUUAAAACCCUAAUGCUGGCUGGCUGGGGACAAAGUUCGAGAAUACUAAACGACCUUUUUUUUUUGAAUUUUCUUGUUUUAGUAGAAGAUAAAAGGGAGUUUCGUGGGAACUUACCUUUCGAGUGAAUUCAUCAUUGCCAAAGUAUUUCUUGUACCCGUGUACCUUCUUCUUUGGGCGACACCUGCUUCUUGCACGGUUGUCUUGGAUUAUACCUGUUUC
rnacentral:lncRNA from 1 species